GUAUUUCUUUUAGAAUUUUUUUGAAAUUCUAAAGAUAUGAGGUGUUUCUCUUUUUUAAAAAAGAGUACCUUUAAAUAGAUUAACUGUAAUUUAAGUGAAUGUUUGACGUCUCUUAAACAACAGAACAGUAUUUGAAUGGUUAUUUUGACCUCAAUGCCUAAUAUGUUUGUCUAGAGAAAUAGUUUAUUUAAAAUAUGGUUCCAAAUUUAUUAAAAAAGAAUGAAUUUUUCAUUUUUUUUGAAC
rnacentral:misc_RNA from 1 species